UGCAGCAGGAGAAACAGAGACCAUGAUAAAUAUGAAGAAUCUCCUGUAUUUAAUAUCUGUGUUGUCUUUGUUUCAGUGUGUGACAUGUCAGAUCUCCCUGACACAGCCUGGUGCUGUCACUGUGAAGCCAUCAGAGGUUCUUCAGUUGACCUGUAAAGUGACCGGAGCCUCCCUCACUGACAGCUCCAAAGUAUAUGCAGUUCGCUGGGUCCGUCAGCCUGCGGGGAAAGGGCUGGAGUGGCUGGGAGGGAUAUGGCAUGAUGCUGGCACAGGCUAUGCCCAGUGUUUGCAGGGACGCAUCACAUCCUGAUAGCUGAGUCAUUAU